UUGCAGUCAUGAGCAUCAGCUCGAUUUGCAUAUACUACAAGAGUACGUACGGCGUAUUACAACCAGCCAUUCAAAUCUUGAUGCACAUAAAGGCCGAAAGCACAGACAUUCCCCUCGUUCUUACUACCCUUGUCCAGCACGCUGGCUUCUUUCUCCUACUCUUCGUCUUCUUCGUCGGCAGUUUCUUCUUUCGCAUUGCCAUUUCUUUCUUCUUCUUCUUCAUUGCCUUUUCUUUCUUCUUCUUCCUGGCCGCCUUGUCGUUGUCACUGAGUAUCACGGUGACCAGCUGCUCGAUGUAGCAUGUGCACAGGGCGAAAUUUGCUGACAUGUCCAACAUAGCCAAUUUGGUGGAGUUCAGAUGGCGUGAUGACAUUCAGGAAGAAACGAGGAAUGUUAGUUGUUUCCUGGAGCUCAGGAUCAGAAACGAGCGGAAACAUGCAAGGGGAGAGGAAAAACC
rnacentral:rRNA from 1 species